ensembl:lncRNA
GGAGACGGGAGGUGUUAGUGGGGUGGUGGUUACCUUUGGUUUGGUCUGGUAGAGUGUGUGUCCUUUCUCUUCAGUUGCAUUGAGGCUGUUAAGGGUAUCAUUUCUCUAGCUGAUAUUUUUGCAGCUAGAUUUUGCAGUCUUGAUUUUUACUAGAAGAUCUGUUAGCUCCAGCUUUCUUACUUGAAGCAUUAGUUCUUAACUGCCAGUUUGAAGCUGCUCCUGAGUAGACGGUCUCUAUGAAAAGUUUUGGAUUUGAUUCGGUGUUACUUUCUAAUGUUUGCUAGAAGUUGUCUUUGGAAAUGCUAAUCUUAAUAGGUCUCUUCCUUUGUCAUGUGUCAUUAGCCUUUUGGCUGUUUACCUUAGGGCUCUCUGAGGGAGAGGCGGGUGGGGCACAGGGGAAAACUGGUUACUCUGAGAGAGAGAAAGAACUGGUUCAGGGCUCUUAGGCAGAAUCCCCAGCCCUAGACUUCAUCUGGAACCAUUCGAUAGCACCAAUAAAAACACCUUCUUAGCACCUGUUAUAUUCCAGGGAGUGUUCUAAGCUUUUUAUACAGCUCUCCUUCAGUCUCCAUUUCUCUCCCAUCCACAGUCCCGUCUGUGAGGCAGGUAUUUACUUUGUUCUCUUUCCAGAUGAGGAAAUUGAGGCCCUGAAAGAUUGUUACAGGGGAAAGAAAAAUCGGAGCAAUUGGGAAUUCUGGUUUCAUCUCAUGGAUAGAAAAAUGAGCCAUUUACGUGAGGAAAAGUGAUACUUCUGAAUCCCGCUCUUCAGUAAUGAGAACUAGACGGUUUUCACUUGACGUCUACUUUGUGGUAGUGGGGAACCCCCUUUCCAGAGGUUUUUGAGAAGGAUUGCUAACAAGGGUUUUCUAGAUUCUGGGGGAAGAAGUUCAAGAAAGUCCAGCAACAUUGUCAUUAGAAAAAUGGUCUUCAUCCAGUGCUAGUCUUAGAAUCCUGAAGCUUCAUUUUCAGCACAGUUUGAAAGGCAGCAAAGUAGAAGAGGCUGUACAGGGGAGGAGAAACACUGAGGAGAGAUGUAUUACAGAGACCUUGAAGUCCGUGUGUUAAGAUAGGAAAGAAGCAGAGACCCGCAUUCACAAAAUGAAAACAAAAGAAUGUGCAGUGUCUCAGGUCAGAGCCAAAAGGUUUUAGCUUACCUAGUUAAUUUCUUAGGUUUACAUCUUGGUUCUUUCCUUAUCUUAUAUGUAUAUAUAAGCUUAGGCUUCCUGAACCAUUUAUUUCCCUUUGCAAAAGAGACUAAAGGACAUUUUUUAGCAGACAUAAAGGGCCACUGUAGCAGUUUAGCUGGAGUGUAAUCAGAAACUAUUCAUCAUUUUCUGUCCCCUCCUGUCCUAGGCUGACUGGUUCCCUGAUGUGUUACCUGCUUCUGCCACUGAUUGAAACUGCAGAACUUCUCAUUCGUCCCCAAGACUUCCAGUAGGGAAUCAGCUCUAAAAGAAACCAGACCAACGUUUGCCAGCCCCUUCAUUCUGGUGACUGAGGAGAGGAGAGUGGGCAGCGGCUACCUCUAUGUGAGGAAUGGAUAGAAUGCGUUCAGGGCAUCAUCGUGCAAAGCUCCAGUAGCAGUGACGCCUACACGGAAGACUUGGAACUGCAAACAGAGGCUGGGGUCACCUCAGUGGCAUCUGACGCCGUCCAACCAGAAGCUCGAUUUUUGUUUGGGGCGGGGGGUUGGGGAGUGUGAAGAAGC